rnacentral:tRNA from 1 species
UGGCUAUGUAGCUCAGUUGGUUAGAGCACAGCAUUCAUAAUGCUGGGGUCACUGGUUCAAGUCCAGUCAUAGCUACCAC